rnacentral:rRNA from 1 species
UUGAAAGGGAAACGAUUGAAGUCAGUCGUACCUAUGGGUAAUCAGCCUUUUGGGUGUGAUUUUGUGGAGCGUGAGGAGUUAAACGCCUUCAUGCCUGCAUAUUCGUGUACUUUGGGUGUACUUGCCCGUAUGGUUGGUUAACAUCAAUUUUGGUGGUCAUAAAAUGACUGGAGGAAUGUAGCUUCGAUCUCGUAUUGAAGUGUUAUAGCCUUCGGUAGAUGUGAUGAUCGAGAUUGAGGAUUGCAACGGAUACCUUCGGGGCUACCUGUCUGAUCUCUGAUCGUUGCUCUGGUGCCGAAAGCUUGCUUACGGUUAUCAAAGUCGAUGGUCAAUAGGUUAGAACGGGUUAAAUUCGUUAAGGAUGUUGACGUA